UUUGUCUUUGGUUGUAAGAUAGUUGGUUGUAGGCAUUUAUGGAAUAUUUUGUAAUCGUCCAAAACAAUAUUUGCUAUUGAAGACGUUGCAUCUCGUGUUGUGGGUCCAGCGGAUUUAGUGGAUGCAGAGCCCACUUCACUUUUACUUACAUUAUUCUAUCGACUACAGUGGUUGCGGAUGUGGAUACGAGUCCUCGUGGGCGUCUACGGAACUUCAUGGGACAAUCCAGAUACCUCAGUUCUUUGCUUUCCAACUCAUGGCUGUCCUCUAUGGAUCUGAAAUUCUCAUGUUCAAGCAUACGCGGAUAAAGUCUCCAUACAAGUGAAUAGUCGUAGUUCCAUUGCCAGGUUUCAGAAUUGGAACCACAUUUCCCUUCACCCUUAACAAUGAAUGGAAUAAAUGAAAAGUUCUUCCCAUAAUGGCAGUGUGCAGUGAAAUGGGAGGAACUGAUUGCAGAGGACAGAUCUUUGCAUGAAAUCUGAUGGCAAUGUUUGUUGAAAACAUCAGCAUGCCGGAUGCGUGUUAACAGAAAACGUGUUUGUGAUAGGUAGGUGAAUUGCUUUUUUUAAAUUAUUCUUUUUUUUUUCUUUUUUUUUUUUUAUUUGUAGUGGGGAAAUGCACCUUAAUUAU